GAUGAACGCUGACAGAAUGCUUAACACAUGCAAGUCAACUGUGGCGGACGGGUGAGUAACGCGUAAAGAACUUGCCUCACGGAUAGGGCCAACAUGUGGAAACGAAUGCUAAUACCUGAUACUGUGAGAGAGCUUUGCGUCCCAUUAGCUAGUUGGAGAGGUAACGGCUCACCAAGGCGAUGAUGGGUAGCCGACCUGAGAGGGUGAAAGGCCACAAGGGGACAGGGGAACGGGCAUUACGCAUACGGGAGGAAGCAGGGGGGAAUUGUGGACAAUGGACCAAAGUGUGAUGCAGCAAUUCGGUGUGAAAGAUGAAGUUUUCGGAAUGUAAAGUGAUGUCAGUUGGGAAGCGGUACCAACAGAAGAAGUGACGGCUAAAUACGUGCCAGCAGCCGCGGUAAUUC
rnacentral:rRNA from 1 species